rnacentral:rRNA from 1 species
UUGGAAAACGUUCUUCGGGGCGAAAACUCUCAAGGAUCUUACCGCUGUAGAGAUCCAGUUCGAUGUAACCCACUCGUGCACCCAACUGAUCUUCAGCAUCUUUUACUUUCACCAGCGUUUCUGGGUGAGCAAAAACAGGAAGGCAAAAUGCCGCAAAAAAGGGAAUAAGGGCGACACGGAAAUGUUGAAUACUCAUACUCUUCCUUUUUCGAUAUCAUUGAAGCAUUUAUCAGGGUUAUUGUCUCAUGAGCGGAUACAUAUUUGAAUG